rnacentral:rRNA from 1 species
GAUGAACGCUGGCGGCGUGCCUAAUACAUGCAAGUCGAGCGAACGGACGAGAAGCUUGCUUCUCUGAUGUUAGCGGCGGACGGGUGAGUAACACGUGGAUAACCUACCUAUAAGACUGGGAUAACUUCGGGAAACCGGAGCUAAUACCGGAUAAUAUUUUGAACCGCAUGGUUCAAAAGUGAAAGACGGUCUUGCUGUCACUUAUAGAUGGAUCCGCGCUGCAUUAGCUAGUUGGUAAGGUAACGGCUUACCAAGGCAACGAUGCAUAGCCGACCUGAGAGGGUGAUCGGCCACACUGGAACUGAGACACGGUCCAGACUCCUACGGGAGGCAGCAGUAGGGAAUCUUCCGCAAUGGGCGAAAGCCUGACGGAGCAACGCCGCGUGAGUGAUGAAGGUCUUCGGAUCGUAAAACUCUGUUAUUAGGGAAGAACAUAUGUGUAAGUAACUGUGCACAUCUUGACGGUACCUAAUCAGAAAGCCACGGCUAACUACGUGCCAGCAGCCGCGGUAAUACGUAGGUGGCAAGCGUUAUCCGGAAUUAUUGGGCGUAAAGCGCGCGUAGGCGGUUUUUUAAGUCUGAUGUGAAAGCCCACGGCUCAACCGUGGAGGGUCAUUGGAAACUGGAAAACUUGAGUGCAGAAGAGGAAAGUGGAAUUCCAUGUGUAGCGGUGAAAUGCGCAGAGAUAUGGAGGAACACCAGUGGCGAAGGCGACUUUCUGGUCUGUAACUGACGCUGAUGUGCGAAUGCGUGGGGAUCAAACAGGAUUAGAUACCCUGGUAGUCCACGCCGUAAUCGAUGAGUGCUAAGUGUUAGGGGGUUUCCGCCCCUUAGUGCUGCAGCUAACGCAUUAAGCACUCCGCCUGGGGAGUACGACCGCAAGGUUGAAACUCAAAGGAAUUGACGGGGACCCGCACAAGCGGUGGAGCAUGUGGUUUAAUUCGAAGCAACGCGAAGAACCUUACCAAAUCUUGACAUCCUUUGACAACUCUAGAGAUAGAGCCUUCCCCUUCGGGGGACAAAGUGGCAGGUGGUGCAUGGUUGUCGUCAGCUCGUGUCGUGAGAUGUUGGGUUAAGUCCCGCAACGAGCGCAACCCUUAAGCUUAGUUGCCAUCAUUAAGUUGGGCACUCUAAGUUGACUGCCGGUGACAAACCGGAGGAAGGUGGGGAUGACGUCAAAUCAUCAUGCCCCUUAUGAUUUGGGCUACACACGUGCUACAAUGGACAAUACAAAGGGCAGCGAAACCGCGAGGUCAAGCAAAUCCCAUAAAGUUGUUCUCAGUUCGGAUUGUAGUCUGCAACUCGACUACAUGAAGCUGGAAUCGCUAGUAAUCGUAGAUCAGCAUGCUACGGUGAAUACGUUCCCGGGUCU